GCAGUUGUGGCGCAGUGGUAGCGCAUCUGCUUCGCACGAGAAUGCCGGAGAGCGACUCGUAGAUGGAUCUCGUAUGCAGGUGGUCGUCGGUUCAAUCCCGACCAAGUCCA
rnacentral:tRNA from 1 species